CGUGCCUAACACAUGCAAGUGAACGGAAGCCAGAGAUUUACGGUUUCUGCUUUAGUGGCGAACGGGUGAGUAACGCGUGAGAAACCUGCCUUUCAUGGGGGACAACAGUUGGAAACGACUGCUAAUACCGCAUAACGUAUCGAGAGGGCAUCCUUUGAACCAAAGCUUUAUGUGCUGAAAGAUGGUCUCGCGUCUGAUUAGCUAGUUGGUGAGGUAACGGCUCACCAAGGCGACGAUCAGUAGCCGGUCUGAGAGGAUGAACGGCCACAUUGGGACUGAGAUACGGCCCAGACUCCUACGGGAGGCAGCAGUAGGGAAUUUUCGGCAAUGGGGGAAACCCUGACCGAGCAACGCCGCGUGAGUGAAGACGGCCUUCGGGUUGUAAAGCUCUGUUGUAAAGGAAGAAUGGCAUGGAUAGAAUCCAUGAGUGACGGUACUUUACCAGAAAGCCACGGCUAACUACGUG
rnacentral:rRNA from 1 species